CUACGGGUCGCAGCAGUAGGGAAUUUUCGGCAAUGGGCGAAAGCCUGACCGAGCAAUGCCGCGUGAACGAUGAAGGCCUUCGGGUUGUAAAGUUCUGUUAUCAGGGAAGAACAUACGGAUUAGGAAAUGACUCCGUACUGACGGUACCUGAUCAGAAAGCUCCGGCUAACUACGUGCCAGCAGCCGCGGUAAUACGUAGGGAGCAAGCGUUAUCCGGAAUUAUUGGGCGUAAAGCGUGCGUAGGCGGUUCGUUAAGUCAAAUCUGAAAGCCCACAGCUUAACUGUGGAGGGCGAUUUGAAACUGGCGAACUUGAGUACGGCAGAGGUUAGUGGAAUUCAAUGUGUAGCGGUGGAAUGCGUAGAUAUAUUGAGGAACACCAGUGGCGAAGGCGGCUAACUGGACCGGAACUGACGCUGAGGCACGAAAGCGUGGGGAGCAAACAGGAUUAGAUACCCGUGUAGUC
rnacentral:rRNA from 1 species